ACACACACACACACACACACAUAUAUAUAUAUAUAUAUAAUAUUAUAUGUGUGUGUGUAUGUAUAUGU